rnacentral:rRNA from 1 species
AAAGAUUAAGCCAUGCAUGUCUAAGUACAGGCCGACCCAAGGCGAAACCGCAAAUGGCUCAUUAAAUCAGUCAUGAUUUAUUGGAUGUAGUACACAUUCCUUACUCGGAUAACUGUGGUAAUUCUAGAGCUAAUACGUGCAUUUGAGCUCCGACCCAGUUUUGCAUUUACUGUGAGACGGGGGAAGGGCGCAGUUAUUAGAUUCAAAACCGAGCAGGCUCUCGGGCCUGACUUUCGCUUUUUGAUGACUCUGAAUAACCCAGCCGAGCGCUGAGGCCUUUUAGUGCCGGCGCCGUAUCCUUCGAGUGUCUGACUUAUCAGCUGUCGAUUGUAGGUUAUACGCCUACAGUGGCUGUAACGGGUAACGGGGAAUCAGGGUUCGAUUCCGGAGAGGGAGCCUGAGAAACGGCUACCACAUCUAAGGAAGGCAGCAGGCACGCAAAUUACCCACUCCCGGCACGGGGAGGUAGUGACGAAAAAUAACGAUGCGGGACUCUUCCGAGGCCUCGCAAUCGGAAUGAGUUCACUCUAAAUACUUGGACGAGGAUCCAUUGGAGGGCAAGUCUGGUGCCAGCAGCCGCGGUAAUUCCAGCUCCAAUAGCGUAUAUUAAAGUGUUGGCGGGUUAANNNNNNNNNNNNNNACCCACUCCCGGCACGGGGAGGUAGUGACGAAAAAUAACGAUGCGGGACUCUUCCGAGGCCUCGCAAUCGGAAUGAGUUCACUCUAAAUACUUGGACGAGGAUCCAUUGGAGGGCAAGUCUGGUGCCAGCAGCCGCGGUAAUUCCAGCUCCAAUAGCGUAUAUUAAAGUUGCUGCGGUUAAAAAGCUCGUAGCUGGACUUUAGAUUCGGACCGGCGGCCCAUCCAAGGCGCGCCCUCGCGUCCCGUUUGCUGUUGGGCGGCGGCUCGCACCGGUACUAAGGCAACGUUUAUCGUCAUCGAUUCGUCGAGGUACGAGGACUUCUUAACCGUUAAAAGCCGGUUUGUCCCUCCUCCUAUAGUCCCUCUCUUCGGAGUGGGCAGGGGGAUCAAGGGGCUCUCAGGUGGUUUCGUUCUCUGCCUCAUCCAAGGCGGUCGAUGCUCGUGUUGCUUCCGGAGCGCGGCCAAUGUUCCGACGCGCGGGUAUUUGUCGGGUAAGCGCGCCCGGUGGUUUCACCGCCCGGCUCCGAAUUCUGUUUGAAAGCCGUCGGCUCUCACGGGGUGCUCUUUGCCGGGUGUCCCGCGUGGCCGACACGUUCACUUUGAAUAAAUUAGAGUGCUCAAAGCAGGCGUUAUUGAUAUGCCUGAAUGUCCAUGCAUGGAAUGAUGGAACAGGACCUCGGUUCCGUCCUUUUCUCUCGGUUUUCCCGAAUCCGAGGUAAUGAUUAACGGGAACGGACGGGGGCAUUAGUAUUGCGACGCUAGAGGUGAAAUUCUUGGACCGUCGCAAGACUAACUACUGCGAAAGCAUUUGCCAAGAACGCUUUCAUUAGUCAAGAACGAAAGUUAGAGGAUCGAAGGCGAUCAGAUACCGCCCUAGUUCUAACCUUAAACGAUGCUGACCGGCGAUCCGCUUAAGUCAUUCCCACGACUGAGCGGGCAGCCCCCGGGAAACCAAAGUCUUUGAGUUCCGGGGGAAGUAUGGUUGCAAAGCUGAAACUUAAAGGAAUUGACGGAAGGGCACCACCAGGAGUGGAGCCUGCGGCUUAAUUUGACUCAACACGGGAAACCUCACCAGGCCCGGACACCGGAAGGAUUGACAGAUUGAGAGCUCUUUCUCGAUUCGGUGGGUGGUGGUGCAUGGCCGUUCUUAGUUGGUGGAGCGAUCUGUCUGGUUAAUUCCGAUAACGAACGAGAUUCUACCCUGCUAACUAGUCGGCGGAUCGACUCCCGAGACUGGGCCUGCCCUGGGGCUCGUAUUUCUCGGCUCGGUGGUUUGAGGGGCGUGGGCGUGGUGGUAUCGUAGGGGGUAGCGUAGCCGCGGGCAACCGUUGGUGAAACUGCUCCCGAAGGCUGCUCGUCUCGUCCCUCUCCCUGGGUUGGGAGGGGUCCCGUCGGUGUAGGUCCCAGCGAGGGGCGUCCGUCGCAACAUCUUCUUAGAGGGAUCGGCGGUUUUGCAGCCGCACGAGAAAGAGCAAUAACAGGUCUGUGAUGCCCUUAGAUGUUCUGGGCCGCACGCGCGCUACAAUGAAGUGAUCAGCGUGCUUUCCCCCUCCGAAAGGAGCGGGUAACCCUCUGAAACCCCUUCCCGAUUGGGAUUGGGGAUUGCAAGUGUUUCCCAUGAACGAGGAAUUCCCAGUAAGCGCGAGUCAAGAGCUCGCGUUGAUUACGUCCCUGCCCUUUGUACACACCGCCCGUCGCUACUACCGAUUGAAUGAUUCAGUGAGGCCGUCGGACUGGCACCCUCGGUAGCCUCCGGUACGCGAUUCUCUGCGCCCAUACCAGGGCUGGAGACCCUCGCUUCCGAUGGCACCCCGGGUUUGACGGAAAGACCGCCGAACUUGAUCAUUUAAAGGAAGUAAAAAGUCGUAACAAGGUUUCCNGUAGGUGAACCUGCCGNAAAGGAACA